CUUGGAGCAGGGCAGAGCCAUAUGCUGGGCUCUGGCCACAGGCUGAGAGAGGAAGUGACUCCAAGGCUGAGGAAUGAGCCCAGGAAGUUGACCUUUGAAGCACUCUCCUGCUCUUGGGGCCAUGUCAUCAGGAAGAAACUCCAGGCUGAAAACACAACUGCAAGGCCAACAGGCAGGGGAGCAGCUUUCUCAGGACACCUGAGGUCCUGCCCCACCAGGCUCUGGUCUUUACACACCAUCUCUCACUGUCCUCUAGCCCCAACUGCACAUUGCCUUCCUCCUUCCUGAGCUCAUGCUUGCCCCUCCCUCGGCAUCUCCCUAGCCCCAGCCUGAAGGCUGACCUCCUCCAGAAAGCCUCUCCCUCACCACGAGGCCAGAAAGAGUCUGUCCUGUCUCUAGCUUCUGAGUUUCUUAGUCCCAACGACUGUCCCUGCUCCACUGACACCUUCCAUACACAGCUUUGUGAGCUGUGCGCAUCUGUGGGUACCAGAGGGACACCCUAACACUGCCUCGCGAUGUCUCCCUCAUUUGCCCGUGGAGUAAGGUGAAGAGUCCUUGGCCUUUGGCCUGGCACCAGGGUGGAAAGAUAGCCCAGCCAAUAUCCCUGAUACCUACCAAGGCCGCUUAAUAUGUUCCUCUCCGAAUAAUA
rnacentral:lncRNA from 1 species